CAAAAACAUCGCCUCUUGUACACUAUAUUAGGUAAUGCCUGCCCGGUGACCAUGUGUUAAACGGCCGCGGUAUUCUGACCGCGCAAAGGUAGCGUAAUCACUUGUCUUCUAAAUAAAGACUAGUAUGAACGGCCACACGAAGACUUGACUGUCUCCCCUGUCCAAUCAGUGAAACUAAUCUCCUCGUGCAGAAGCGAGGAUACACUCAUUAGACGAGAAGACCCUAUGGAGCUUUAAACUCAAUAUUAAUUAUAUUUAACUCUUCUCUAAGGAACUAAUCAACUUCUUAAACUUAAUAUUAGUUUUAGGUUGGGGCGACCAUGGAGAAAAAAAUAUCCUCCCUGAUGAUUUUCUAACCAAGAGCUACAGCUCUAAGUAUUAAGAUACUUAACUCCCAUUGACCCAUUUUAUGAUCAACGAACCAAGUUACCCUAGGGAUAACAGCGCAAUCCAUUUUAAGAGUUCCUAUCGACAAAUGGGUUUACGACCUCGAUGUUGGAUCAGGGCAUCCUAGUGGUGCAACCGCUACUAACGGUUCGUUUGUUCAACGAUUAAAGCCCUACGUGAUC
rnacentral:rRNA from 1 species